AGGGUUUGAUCCUGGCUCAGGAUGAACGCUAGCGGCAGGCUUAACACAUGCAAGUCGAGGGGUAACAGGGAUUGCUUGCAAUCCGCUGACGACCGGCGCACGGGUGCGUAACGCGUAUGCAACCUACCUUCUACAGGGGAAUAGUCAAUAGAAAUGUUGAAUAAUACCCCAUACGAUCUUUGAAUAGCAUUAUUUAGAGAAGAAAGUUCCGGCGGUAGAAGAUGGGCAUGCGUCCUAUUAGUUAGUUGGAGAGGUAACGGCUCCCCAAGACAUCGAUAGGUAGGGGUCCUGAGAGGGAGACCCCCCACACUGGUACUGAGACACGGACCAGACUCCUACGGGAGGCAGCAGUGAGGAAUAUUGGACAAUGGAGGCAACUCUGAUCCAGCCAUGCCGCGUGCAGGAAGACUGCCCUAUGGGUUGUAAACUGCUUUUAUACAGGAAGAAAUGUACCUACGUGUAGGUAUUUGACGGUACUGUACGAAUAAGGAUCGGCUAACUCCGUGCCAGCCGCCGCGGUAAUUC
rnacentral:rRNA from 1 species